rnacentral:lncRNA from 1 species
CGUCUCCAGGUAGCUCGUCUUUCUAUCUGCGGGCACUCUGGCGAUGAACUGGUCGAUGAAGCGAGUGGCCAAAUCUCCAAAGCUGCUGAUACUUCCUGCCUCGAGGUUGUUGAACCACGCCUGUGCUGGCCCCGAGAGCGUCGUAGGGAAUACCUUGCACAUCAAGGCAUCGGAAAGAGUUUGCAGCUCCAUGAAAGUCUUAUAGUUCAAGACGUGCUCUCGAGGGUUCCCAGCUCCGUCAUAUGUGGCCACAGGCGGCAUCAUAAACUUCUUGGGAACGGUCUCUUAUUGUACCCAUUUCGAGAAGGGUGAAGAGGUGGGCAAGAUAGUUUGGUUCUGAUCCUUCGUCCCCAGCUCGGCCAAGAGCUGUUCUCUCAUCCUUUGCAGCUUUUAGUCUAUGCUCUCCUCCUCUUGCCUGAGUUUCUUCUCCUGGUGGUACUCCUCCUCCCAUGUCUCGCUCCCCAUUCUUCCAGUUGUUUCAGCAGAAUAACUGUCGGCCCCAUCGUUCUCAAUCAUCUCUCUCAUCCUCCUUCUAUGAACCCUGGCCACCGGUUCUUCCUCUUCCCCAACUCUUCUCUCCCUUUCUCCGGUUUCAUAGUUGACUAUUUGGGGAUGGUUGUGGGUAGGUUG